UGCACUAUUUAAAAAAUAAAUCUUAUUUUCGUAGCCGCGAUCUUAUUUUCGCGAAAAUAGCUUAUUUUCGGUAUCCAUCUAUACCGGAAUUUUUUUGUUUUUACUCUUCUUGUGCAAGUUGUGGUUAUAGAGUGUGAUGAACAUAUUGACUCUUCCUUUGUAAAACGUUCAGAUACAAAGACAGUUGCUAAAAAAUAUCAAGAUCUCAAGUUUGUUUUGCCCCUGUCUAGCAUAUCUGUAAUGGAAGAACAGUUAUUAUGGAUAAAUACAGGUACUUCAAUAAAAUGUAAUUUUGGGUACUGUCAGAUCUACAUGUUACGCUACAAGUUUCUUCUCAUAAUUACAUAUUUAACAACUAGUAUGGCUAAUGAGUACAAAAUUUUGGAGGUGUUACACUACAAGGCAGAAGAGAAUAUCUGUCCUUGCAAGCAGUCUUGAAGACCUUCUGAAGAAAGCUGGUGACAAGCAACAGUUGCAAGGAGGAAGUUUGAUUGUUGUGCUGGAAAAAGAUGUGACAGAAAUGGAAGAAAACGCCAUCCUUGACAUAUUCAAAACUAAGUAUUGAUGCUUCUAGAAGACCAACAAUUAUGAGAACCAGAUAUUCCAAAAGACACUGUUGUAAUGUUUGGGCAGACACCCAAGAUGCCAACAUGUCAAAGACUGAGACAGAGUCCACAACUGUUACCACAGCGACAGAAAUUGUAACACCAUCUUAUGUUGUUUGAAAUUAAAUUAAUUCUUGCAGUAGGUCACAUCCAACCAUUUGUUGACAAUCUAGAGAUAUUGUUUGAAGCAGUAGCUACACUUAAACCUGGAGGAAAAAAGUGCAAAGAUGAUUUGGACGUUAUAAGAGCCAUAGAAAGUAAUACAGGAUUCAAACAUGGAAAGGGGUGCAAGACUAGAUAAAUUGUAGUUCUACAUAAGGAUAUUGAAGAAGCUAAUCUGUCAAAGGUCCUGUCAUCUGACAUCACAGCCUAAUACUCCUCCAAGUGAAGCCUUGUUUUUAUUUUUAACAACAUAGAAUUGGACAAACAGUAUAUUGUUGGAGACCAGUGCAAGAUUCUACUUGAGACAGAUAGCCUCAUGGAAGGGCUAUUCUUAUUAAUAAACUGGUAUUAUAUAAUGGAUCUAGAACAUCCCACUGCUUUUCACAACUCCUUGGAUUCAUGCAACAAACAGUAUUUAAACAAGUCUUUCUUAGUCACAAGUCGGCUGGGUAUUAACACUUUGUGGAAAAAUUGGAAAAACUAAUGAACAAAUAGAACCAACAUUUUAAAUUAAAUUCAACCUUCUGUGUCAUGGACAUAUUAUUGACUUCUUAACAGCUUACCUUUUACCAUGAAAAAACCUGCUUUUUUGCACUUGCAAAAACAAAGGUGCAGAAUAGCUGUGUGGUAACCAUCAGCUGAUCAGUGCCUUUAUUUUUGCUGCAUAGAUGGUGCAAUCCCUCCCCUUCCUUAAUCAGACAUUUAAAUCCUCUUGAUGUCUGAACAUGAAGCUGUAUAUUUUGGCUCUAUUUGAAAUAGCAAAUGUCAAGUGUCAAUAUUUUUCAAAACAGCUAAGACUAUGCUUCUUUUUAGGAACUUUUAAAUCCAGUGAUUUAUCAAAUUAUUAUUCACUAGCAGAAAAGAUUGACUUAAUAAUGCAGUGUUUAAACACUAAUUUUAUUAUUUAUGACAUCAGUAUGUUAUUGCAGACUGUGACAUUUUUAUGUCAAUGAAGCAUAAAAAUGCCAUAUAUUAUAAAUUGUUUAUUACAGUUAAGAAGUAUUAGUGCUAUUUGUUGUUUGCAAAUGUUAAUAUGCUCUUAUUUUGUACAUGCUAUGUAGUAAGUUUAAUAUAUUGCAUUGAUGUCUUAAAUAAGUUUGUAUUUUGUUGAUGUAUUACUGUCUAACUUUAACACAUGCUCACUUCAUUAUCAUAUCAGAUUUAUUAAAUUUUCAUUUACUGAUUUCAAGUGGUAAGCAGAAUUAUUUACAGAGAUCACUAGUUUUCACUGAUCAGGCACCUUUGUUGUGCAUUUAAAUUUUUGGUGUUUUCGGAGUCAAAGAAAUGAUUUAUCAAAAUAUUGUAUAAAGUUGCAUUGUAACUUUUUAGAGUGCUAAAGUGUACUAUUUUUUGUCUAAGCCUUAAGCGCACCACAACAAAAGAUAUUUAUGAACCAUCAGGAUAUAUACUGUUACUGAUAAAAAAUAGAGCACUAGUGCACAGACUUUUGACUCCCCCCCCCCCUCCUCGUAACCAUGAAGUGUAUUAUAAUUUGUCUGACAGUACUCGGACACAUUAUUGGGGACAGUCAACAUUGAAUGACCGAUUUUUGACACUGUCUGAAAAUACUGUUUGUUUUUUUUCAUACCCAAAUAUGAUACAUAUUUGUGCCAAAACCGGGUUUUUUACAUUUUACAGGGAGGUAGGCUUUACUGUGUAAAAAGGUUUUAUUUUUGUAGAGAGAAGUUAAAUCCAUUUUAUAUAUGUUUUCAUUUUACCUGAAAUUCUACUGAUAUCCAUAUAUCAAUUUGUUUUUGUUGUUUAAUUGUUUAUCUAUUUAUUUACUUAAUUGUUUGCCUAAAUAUAACUGUAAUCUAUUUUAUGUAUUUAUUUUAUACAUUCAUUUUUAAUCCCCUUCUGCAUAGAGGGGAGGGGAUUACAAGAAUGGCCUCAGUCUGUCUUCCAUGUCCACUCCAUAACUUUUUUAAACUGUGAAAUUUUUUUGAAAUAACUUGGAUCAAAUGGUCAGUAUGAGACGAUGUGCAAAGCGCAAUAAUCGGGUCGCUACCCCUAAGGUCACAACUUAAGGUCAUAGGUUAAAAAGUCUACCUUUUGUGUCCACUCCAUAACUUCAACUGAUGAAAAGUUUUUAACAUAACUUGGCACAAAUGAUCACCUUUAUAUCAUGAUAAGCAAAGCACAACAACAAGGUCACUACCUCCAAGGUCAAGGUCACACUUAAAAGUCAAAUGUUAAUGGUCCACUUUUUGUGUCCCCUAAAUAACUUAAUCUGCUGAAAAGUUUUUUAAAUAACUUGGCACAAAUGAUCACCAUUAUAAGAGGAUGUGCAGAGCGCAACAAUCAGGUCACUGCCCCAAAGGUCACAGGUAGAGGUCAAAUAUUCUUGUUUAUAACUUUUUGACAUGGAAGAUUUUAAAUAUUUUAGCAUAAAUAAUCACGACCAUGGCACAACAGCCAGGUUUUUCUCUAAAAGACAUGGUUUGUUAAAGAUCAAGAAGUACAGAUUCCUGUCCACUGCGAAGGGGAUAUAGAUGUCCUUCAGACUGCCUUGUUUUUAAUUGUUUGAAAAUGAAAAUGCUCUUUUUAAUUUUGUGAUUGGUAACACCAGAAUUUCGGGUAUAUUGCAUUGGAUUGUAACAUGGCUGACAAGGUGACAGUAAAAUUGCCACCUGUAGGAAAUGCUACCUCAGUUGACAGUGUUUUUCCAAAAGUUGUCAACUUUACUGUCACUCUGUCAGGCAUGCAAUAUUAAUUUUAGUAUACCAAAAAUAAUAUUAUGAUAAUGGUAGGGGGUCUUGAUCUAUUUAACAUUUAUGUGCAGUAAUGAAGAACAAUUCGUAUUUAACCUAAAUUUCAAAAUGUUAUUAAAAUGUGUAUAAUAUGUUUAUGUGUCAUUGUUCACUUUUUUUGGUUGAUCGUGUUUUAAAAUAAAACAUGGAAACUAUUAAAACGUGUAAACGUGUUUUAAAUCUGUUACAGUCCCA